GAUGAACGCUGGCGGCGUGCCUAAUACAUGCAAGUCGAGCGAACGGACGAGAAGCUUGCUUAUCUGAUGUUAGCGGCGGACGGGUGAGUAACACGUGGAUAACCUACCUAUAAGACUGGGAUAACUUCGGGAAACCGGAGCUAAUACCGGAUAAUAUUUUGAACCGCAUGGUUCAAAAGUGAAAGACGGUCUUGCUGUCACUUAUAGAUGGAUCCGCGCUGCAUUAGCUAGUUGGUAAGGUAACGGCUUACCAAGGCAACGAUGCAUAGCCGACCUGAGAGGGGGAUCGGCCACACUGGAACUGAGACACGGUCCAGACUCCUACGGGAGGCAGCAGUAGGGAAUCUUCCGCAAUGGGCGAAAGCCUGACGGAGCAACGCCGCGUGAGUGAUGAAGGUCUUCGGAUCGUAAAACUCUGUUAUUAGGGAAGAACAUAUGUGUAAGUAACUGUGCACAUCUUGACGGUACCUAAUCAGAAAGCCACGGCUAACUACGUG
rnacentral:rRNA from 1 species